AGGUUUGGUACAUAAAGGAGCAAGUGCUGCCCUGAGGCCUCAGGAUUUUGAUAAACCAAGCGAGAAAUCAGUAAGGUAGCACCGACCCUUAUGUCCUUCCAGCCAGAGAUGGCCAAACCUCUGGCUCAGCCCCCAGACGUCCCGAAACUCUUUCCUCUCCUUCCCGUCAAGUGCACGUCUUGCUCUAUGAAGCAGAUUGGAGGUCGAGACGCCUGGCUUCCAGUUGGAGUUGUUUCUGAUUUUUUUCUUCAAGUUUCAGGUAUUUAUGGAUCGGUGCAAGUCCCAGCACAGUACACCAGCGUGAUCCGUGCGUUUAGACGGGAACCGUUUCCUGGGCAACUGGGGGAUUGUGCAGACGGCUUCUGGAAGACCUUCGUGCUCAGCAGCUUUGGUUCCGGGUGACGCCCUCCUACCCCAGCUGACAUCUGGGUUGAACGAUGCCAGGCCCAUGACCUACGGCGCUGCUCCCGUACGUGCCUCUAGGGGCUAAGCUCGAAGGUGCCUCCUCCGGACCGAGGAUCUCGUGUAACGGGGUUGUGGCCAGGGGCCUUGCCGUUGGAAGGAGGAAAGAAUAAACCUGCAAGGCCUGGACUCAAUACACUGAGGAUGAACAGAUGUCCAAAGUUACCCACAUCCCCAAGUCCAAGUUUUGACAGUUCAUGUGCAUAACAUUCCUGGAUGAGUAACUAUAUGCAAUCUCCAUGGGAACGUCUGUGCAAAGAGCAAAGGAGCUCAACUAUUGAUUCCAAAAGUGGGACCCAAAAGCACCCAGUCAAAGGAGGAAGAUAGCUUGAGUUUCCUUCAAGACAUAGAACUUCAUUUUGGCUAAAAAUAGGACAAUGGCGUGAGCGAUGAGAAGACUUUAUCCGGCCAAGCAUGUCAGCGCCAUGACUGACUCGCAUCCACAGAAAAGGGGUAACAUCUAACACGGCCUCUUCUCCCACAGGUUUGCUGGGCUCUAGAAUGGUAAGGAACAAUGACCACGCCCGACACUUAGCAAGUCCACAUUCAUUGCAUCAUUUAACAGCUCCCCCCGCCCCCAAAAAAAGAAAGAAAGAAAAAAGCCAGCAAGAUUAUUCCAAUCAUUUGAGCAAGACAGAAAUUGAACUUGAGAGAAGAUUAACAACAUGCUGACGGUCACCAAGAAUGAACUAGCUUCCGGGUUCAUUUUACAGUUUUCUUGAUAGCGAAUUUAUAAAUUUAUUUUGGUUUUAAAUACAGGAAGAACAAGUGAUGCCAUUCAUUGUACAGUAAUAUUUGAGUUGCUCCAGACCUAAGCCUGCGGACAGCCUGUGGUUCCACACACCUUGCCCAGUUUACACUGCAGCCCUUGUGUGUUAAUUUGAUAAAGAAUGUUCCUUAGUCAUGGGAAGUCAUUUUUACACAUUAUAAGUUUUGAUGAAGUUGGUAGUGAUGAUAUGAUACAGUGGGCUUAAACAUCCUGUUUUUCAUUUAUAAAUGUAAUUUAUAGAAAUUCUAAAAAAGUUCUAUAAAAAUUAUUAAAAACAUUGAGAAUCUAACAGGAAAAAAAAUCCCUGUUAAUUGCUACAAACCACAGGUUAUGGAAUAUUGGCAAGUUUGUGCUACAUUUCCUUCCAGCCUUUGUUCUUAAGUCCAUAAUUGGCAUCACACUUUGUUUGCCAGAAGGGUACUAUUUUCUUCAUAUUAGGGGAUCCCCCCCCGUGUCACUAAAACUUAUAUGAAAACAUUUUUAUACCUUUCAAAACGGCACAACUUGCCAUAAUUUAUUGAGCUAUCCUCCCUGUCGUUCACUGGUCACUUAGAUUAUGUCCUUCAAGAAAAAAAGUCAUAAAUAACUAAAUCUAUUUUUGCUUAGUACACAUUCCCAGAGGAGGGUGACUGGGAUGGGGGAAGACACCAUUUGAACAUUUGCAAUGCAAUCUGUUGCCAGCAAAUUGCUUCUCAGACAGGCUGGGUCAAUUUGCCCUGGUGAGGCGGAUGCUCUCCUUGGGGGGGUCCCAGGUCUCCCCAGCAUUUUGGGAUUCAUUCACUCCUGCUGCAGUCCUCUGGGGCAGACGUUCCCACUGCCACCUCCAUGGUCUGGUCCCUUCACCUCAAACAUCUGUCUCCUGAUGGAGCCGGCGACACAGCUAGAUAGAAGAGGGUGUCCGACAUCCCUUUUAGAAAUCUGUGUCCAUUGUCCAGCCGAAGCUUGGGUGUCCUUGAGCAUCGGGCAGCUCCCCACACACCCCCUGGACCCCACGGUCCACAUGGUACGUCUGUGCUCUGGGACCUGCCAGGCUCCCCCUCCUGUGAAGGGUACCUGUCUCCUGCCUGGGUGGAUGGGGCAGAGGACAUUUCCCAAGAAAGCCAACCCACAGGUUUAGGCGCGUAGGGGGUGCCACUUUGAUCAAACGAUGCAGCGCAGAUGGCAGAAGCCUGGGACUUGAGCCUUUUAGGAUUCCGGCAAAGGAAAGGAUUAAUUCAGAAGCCGGCUCCUUAUCAAGGGUCCUGAAUCCCCCCGCUGGUGGGUGUUGUGAAUGGAGAAAUUGAUGCUCCAGAAAGUUUGACAGUCAAGGACCCCAACUCGUGGUCUCUGGAUCAGUCCUGAAUUGAGGGGGAUGAUUUCCUCAUUGCAGACUUGAGCCUCCAGGCUGGACCCGGAUGAAUAGAUCUGAUUAGUCUUGUGAGCCAGCGACUACAUCUCUCAUUCUCAGUCCUGUGAUUUUUCUAGGUCAAUAAUAUGACUUCCCAAGUUGUGGAUAAAAGCCAGCUUGUAAAAAAUGGGACUGAGUGCCAAUGGCUUAAUGUACACUGUUCCACUGAACUAUGAUCGUUAAGUCCAUCUGAGAGGGUCUCCGAAUGAGAAGUCAGGAUGUGACUUUUGUUCUAUAGAGAAAGAAUACGUGGCAAAUGAUUGAUCAGAUAUAACUUAAAUCUUUUCCCAAUGAACGUUGUCAUAACAUCUGAAAUGGAAGGAAAUGGUACCAUCAUGAGAAAUGAACUCUACCCUGUUGCUUCUUUAGGCAGGAGCGGAGACAAAGCUGGAUUCUGCGGCAUGAAAGCCCGGCCUGGUGAGGAGGAGAAAGCGAGAGGCUAUAAAUACUCAGGCUGACAGAGCAGCAGAUGGUUGGGUUGGAAGUGGAUGUCUGGGAGGGAAAUGUGCUAAGUGGGACUGGCAUAUGCUUUCUUAAGUCUCUGACCUGCUUGUUUCUCAAAAGACUUUAUUAAACGCUUGGAAAAAUAGAUUGGGAAGUUGCUGCUGCAAAAGAAAGUUAGAAAAGGAAAGAAAAAAGGAAAAGAGAAAAGAGUGGGAAGAAGGAAGGAAGGAAGGAAGGAAGAAAGAAAGAAAGAAGAAAAAAAAGAAAGAAAGAAAGAAAGAAAGAAAGAAAGAAAGAAAGAAAGAAAGAAAGAAAGAAAAAGAAAGAAAUUCCCCAAGGCUUGUGCCUCUCUCACCUAUGUGAUUGAUUUGUAUUACCAAUAAGCAUUUCUUUCAUCCUGAAAAAUAUCAAAGCUUCCCCCCCCUCAAAUUUCCUGCUCCCUUGUCCCUGGCUGCCACCCCCACUGGCAGUAGAUGGCAAAGCAGAAAGCCAGGAGAGCAGCCGGCCACGGGCCUGCGGGCAGGUGCAGAGUCCCAUAAGGACUUCCUGUUGACGGUCAUCCUGGGACCAUCCACAGAGACGUUCAUGGAGCGGCCCUGUUGGUAAGAAGAGCCCCUCAACUCUGAGCUGUUUAUUCAAAAAAGAAAUAUAUUUCCAAAGUGUGACAACAGUUUUGUUCAUGUUGGACCAAAUCUUACGUUUCUGUUGGGCUUGAAUCGAUAUUUUCUCUGACUGAGAAGUUACCCAUUGACCUUAUUUACGUUUAUCCUUGGUUCACUAUAUUGUCAGCUCCCUGAAAGAAGGAUGCUUCUCUUCCCUGCACCUAGCAUGGGGCUUCUAGCUUGAGCCAGAAGAUGCUCGUUCAUUAUUCAUCGCAUUGUUUACGAACAGUUCACUAGAUCAUACAUUGAUGGCAUGAGUCAUGUGUUCUCUUUGGAUGUGACAAUGCUUCCAAGGACCAGGCAGGCGUCUCGCCCUCCAGACACUCACUAACUGUGGAAUCGUCAGCGUCUGAGGCAGACAGAGUACACUCUCCUCUCUCCCCAGUGGGAGAGAGCCUCAGGGAUGGUAAAUGGGCCACCAUGGGUCCAUCUAGACCUGCCGGAUAUACCUGUGAGGACCAGACAGGGAAGCCAGCGUUCCACCUGCCUGUAAGGUAGAGCUGGAGGAACCCUAAUCCUCCCAUUUGAGGAGGAAUCUUACCUCUCACGAUCCGAACCUGGGGGGUGUGGGGAAAGUCAGUGGAAUCCAUGGGGGGUCAGAUCGUAGUAGGAGGGAGUGAGGGGUGUGGUAGAGUGAUCUAGUAGUGCCUAGAUUCCCGUCUUCUCUCUCCAGACCUUGCUGGCCUCCAGUCAGUCGUGACUGCCUCUCUCCUCCCUGGAACUUCAGUCCUACUAAGAGCAGAGCUCUGGAUGACCAGCGGUGUAUUGCUUCCAAGACUGGACCUCUGCAUCCCCAAAGCAGCAUUCCAGACCUUCUGUUGGCAGCUGGUGGAUAGACAAGUGGACCACAUCAAACCAAAAAUCUUCUUUACACCAAAAGAAACAAUCAAGAGAGUGAAAAGACAACCUACAGAUGGGGAAAAAGAUAUUUGCAAACCAGAUAAGGUGUUAUCUCCAAAAUAUAUAAAGAACUCCUGCAACUCAAUGACAAAAAAACCCCUGAUAUCCCAAUUAAAACUGGGCUAAGGACCUAAAUAGAUAUUUCUCCAAAAAAGACAUACAAUGGCCAACAGAUAGGAACAAAUGCCCAUCACCGCUCAUCAUCAGGGAACUAGAAAUCAAAACCACAAUAAGGUAUCCCCUCACACCUGUUAGAAUGGCCGUUAGCAAAAAGAUAGGAAAUAACAAGUGCUGGGGAGGAUACAGGGGAGUUAGAACCCUUGCAGAGUUUCGGUGGGAAGGCAGACUGGUGUAACCACUGUGGAAAACAGGGUGGAGCUUCCUCAAAAAAUUAAAAAUAGAAGUACUGUGUGAUCCAGCCAUUUCACAUCGGGGUAUUUAUCCGAAGAAAACAAAAACACUAAUUCGAAAAGAUAUAUGUACUUCCAUAUUCACUGCAGCAUUAUUUGCAGUAGCCAAGAUACGGGAAAACACCAUGCAUCCACGGAUGAAUGAACGGAUAAAGAAGA